rnacentral:rRNA from 1 species
UACGUAGGGGGCAAGCGUUGUCCGGAUUUACUGGGCGUAAAGCGCGUGUAGGCGGCCAGGCAGGUCCGUCGUGAAAACUGGAGGCUCAACUUCCAGACGUCGAUGGAAACCGCCCGGCUAGAGUCCGGAAGAGGAGAGUGGAAUUCCUGGUGUAGCGGUGAAAUGCGCAGAUAUCAGGAAGAACACCAAUGGCGAAGGCAGCUCUCUGGGACGGUACUGACGCUGAGACGCGAAAGCGUGGGGAGCGAACAGG